UCCUCCUACGAAGGCGUGUCUUUGGUUCCCUGUCUUUGGACACGUAAGAAUUGGAGGCAAAGAAAUGUGGACUUGGAGAAGUCUGGGGCCAGCUUGCUCCCUGCAGGCUCAAGACCAACCAUCCCACAUAG